rnacentral:rRNA from 1 species
UAGGGAAUCUUCCGCAAUGGGCGAAAGCCUGACGGAGCAACGCCGCGUGAGUGAUGAAGGUCUUCGGAUCGUAAAACUCUGUUAUUAGGGAAGAACAAAUGUGUAAGUAACUAUGCACGUCUUGACGGUACCUAAUCAGAAAGCCACGGCUAACUACGUGCCAGCAGCCGCGGUAAUACGUAGGUCCCGAGCGUUGUCCGGAUUUAUUGGGCGUAAAGCGAGCGCAGGCGGUUAGAAAAGUCUGAAGUGAAAGGCAGUGGCUCAACCAUUGUAGGCUUUGGAAACUGUUUAACUUGAGUGCAGAAGGGGAGAGUGGAAUUCCAUGUGUAGCGGUGAAAUGCGUAGAUAUAUGGAGGAACACCGGUGGCGAAAGCGGCUCUCUGGUCUGUAACUGACGCUGAGGCUCGAAAGCGUGGGGAGCGAACAGG